GGAGGAAGGGAGGAAAAGUAGACAGGGAAGGAAGGAAGGAAAGAAGAGAAGAAGGAAGGAAGGAAGGACGUACAACAGAUAAUCUAGCAUUUCCACUGUGCCACGGGAAAAGCUUAACUCCUUAAUGCUUUCUGCUACUUUCAGGUGGAGAAAAUGAAGGAACAAAAAAUGACUGUAGCCACGCCAGAAUCCACGAAUUCAAAAGGAGGCUUUGGAUGCUGCUGAACUUCGACUCGGUGUUCUUUU